rnacentral:rRNA from 1 species
CCUACGGGAGGCAGCAGUGGGGAAUUUUCCGCAAUGGGCGAAAGCCUGACGGAGCAACGCCGCGUGGGGGAUGAAGGCCUCUGGGCUGUAAACCCCUUUUCUCAAGGAAGAAGACCUGACGGUACUUGAGGAAUAAGCCACGGCUAAUUCCGUGCCAGCAGCCGCGGUAAUACGGGAGUGGCAAGCGUUAUCCGGAAUUAUUGGGCGUAAAGCGUCCGCAGGCGGCCUAUUAAGUCUGUCGUUAAAGCGUGGAGCUCAACUCCAUUUAAGCGAUGGAAACUGGAAGGCUAGAGUGUGGUAGGGGCAGAGGGAAUUCCCGGUGUAGCGGUGAAAUGCGUAGAUAUCGGGAAGAACACCAGUGGCGAAGGCGCUCUGCUGGGCCAUAACUGACGCUCAUGGACGAAAGCCAGGGGAGCGAAAGGGAUUAGAUACCCCUGUAGUCCUGGCCGUAAACGAUGAACACUAGGUGUCGGGGGAAUCGACCCCCUCGGUGUCGUAGCUAACGCGUUAAGUGUUCCGCCUGGGGAGUACGCACGCAAGUGUGAAACUCAAAUGAAAUUGACGG